rnacentral:snoRNA from 1 species
AAGACUAUACUUUCAGGGAUCAUUUCUAUAGUUUGUUACUAGAGAAGUUUCUCUAAAAGUUAAAAAUUGAGCUACCCUAUGAUCCAGCCAUUGCACUACUGGG